GGUCAAGUGAAGAAGCGCAUACGGUGGAUGCCUUGGCAGUCAGAGGCGAUGAAAGACGUGGUAGCCUGCGAAAAGCUUCGGGGAGUCGGCAAACAGACUUUGAUCCGGAGAUCUCUGAAUGGGGGAACCCACCUAGGAUAACCUAGGUAUCUUGUACUGAAUCCAUAGGUGCAAGAGGCGAACCAGGGGAACUGAAACAUCUAAGUACCCUGAGGAAAAGAAAUCAACCGAGAUUCCCUUAGUAGUGGCGAGCGAACGGGGAUUAGCCCUUAAGCUUCAUUGAUUUUAGCGGAACGCUCUGGAAAGUGCGGCCAUAGUGGGUGAUAGCCCCGUACGCGAAAGGAUCUUUGAAGUGAAAUCGAGUAGGACGGAGCACGAGAAACUUUGUCUGAACAUGGGGGGACCAUCCUCCAAGGCUAAAUACUACUGACUGACCGAUAGUGAACCAGUACCGUGAGGGAAAGGCGAAAAGAACCCCGGAGAGGGGAGUGAAAUAGAACCUGAAACCGUAUGCGUACAAGCAGUGGGAGCCUACUUGUUAGGUGACUGCGUACCUUUUGUAUAAUGGGUCAGCGACUUAUAUUCAGUGGCAAGCUUAACCGUAUAGGGUAGGCGUAGCGAAAGCGAGUCUUAAUAGGGCGUUUAGUCGCUGGGUAUAGACCCGAAACCGGGCGAUCUAUCCAUGAGCAGGUUGAAGGUUAGGUAACACCUGUCUCUUAUACACAUCUGACGCUGCCGACGAAUGUAUC
rnacentral:rRNA from 1 species